rnacentral:lncRNA from 10 species
AUUGUUGGUAUUGAAAAUAACUGAUACCGUGCUUCCAGAAGAUUUUUCUAACAGUGUUUGCAAGCUAUAAAAUAGUGCUUUCACUUAGAAAAGGCUAGACGUGGUGGUUCAUGCCUGUAAUCCCAGCACUUUGAGAGGCCGAGGCACCAUGCUGGGAGAUAAGGAUCCAACAUAAGACAAACAGUGCUGAUGCUUUUGGAAAGCUCAUAUUCAAGCUGGGGAGACAAACAACAUACAAGAGGGCUCUGAGAGAUUUCAUUUCUGUCCUGCUGAUGAAGUCUACGUUCAUUCAGGGCCUGCUGUGGAAGACCAGCCCCAAAGUUGCUGAACAGAAGACUUUUGAGAGUCAGCAGAAAUCUUCCACUUUGCAUGGUUCUCUUGAUGUGAAAUCAUCUAUAUAGCCCCAGAAUUGGAAAAG